GACCAGCUCUCUGUAACUCAUCACGUGAGCCCUUUUCAAAUUUCAAACUACGAGCCCUUUUCAUUUUUGUUCUCUCUCCCUCAAAGAUCUGGAUUUGGAUCUGUGGAUUCAAAAGGAAAAAAGAAUCAGAGAUGUAGAGAUGUGUUGUUGAUCUACAAUAUCAGAGUGGAAUCAAAAUCCUCAUCUUCAUCUUCCGACUUGACACAGAGCCGGUAUGGGAUCUGAGUUUGUUCUUCAUCUAGCGUUUUGAUGAUUGAGAGCAAUUGUGUGACGGGCUUGCCUUCCUCUCAAGAAAUCGGGUUCCGCCGCGAGCGGAGAGACAACCCUUGAGUUGUCACUUAUGACGACCGCCGCUGCAACCACCUUCUCCUCUGUCGCACCUACCACCUCCUCUUCACCAUCUCCGACACUCAAAACCCUAGGUUUCACCACAGUCUUCCUCUCAUCCAAAACCUCCUUCAAAUCACUCCACGCUCGCGUAUUUCCAUCCAACAUGACCUCUGUCUCCGCUAUGGGAGCUCGUAUGGUUGCAUCUCCGACGAUCACCAAGUCGGCGCUGUCUCUCGCUUUCGAAACCUCUGUUUUUAAAAAGGAGAAAGUCAACCUUGCUGAUCACGAAGAGUACAUUGUGAGAGGAGGAAGAGAUUUAUUUCAUCUAUUGCCGGAUGCAUUUAAAGGUAUUAAGCAGAUUGGUGUCAUUGCUUGGGGUUCUCAGGUUUGUAUAUUUUAUUGUUUUGAGUUUAUGUAUCACUAUGUUGCAUGCAUAUGAUAAUUUCAUUUAGAAGCUGUAAUUGUUAUUGAUUUGUGUUUAGGGUCAAACUCAGAAUUUAAAGGAUUCACUUGCAGAAAAGCAAAGUCUGAUAUUGUAGUGAAGGUGUUUUUUUAUUUUUAUUAUUUUGUAGUUUUUUGUUUUGUGUAAUAGUGACACUAGGAUAUGAAGAUGGAUUAGCAUCAGACUAAGUACAAAUUUACCAUAUGUUUAUACUGUGAGUUUAAGAGACGUGACAAUCUUUGAUAUGAAGAUGGAUUAGCAUCAGACUAAGUACAAAUUUACCAUAUGUUUUUAUUGAAUUUAUAGGGCAUGCUCUGGCACAAUUUCUUUUCUAGAUGAUUACACGUACAUGGGAGACUGAUGCAUCUGUUUUUAAUUGUAUGUAUAUAGAGUGUGCUUUGACAUGGUUUCUUUUUUUAGAUGAUUAUUGCUACAAGAGGUUGAAGGAAGUUGGCUAAACCAAUCUGAUCAUAACCAACCCUUUUACUUUUUAAGAUAAAAAGAAAGCUUCCAAAUGAUUAGCAGAUUGUAGAAAUUUGGUUUUUGAAACCUAUACUUAAUUAAAUGCUCUUUAUAUAGUGCUUCUUAUCUAGCCUAAUAAAUCUUUCUGGUUACUAUAUUUUCAGUACGAUUGCUGCUAGAGGGGAAUGUAAUCUCAAAAUAUAUAGUUAUGACCUUAAAUUCCAAAAUUUACGACAGACUAUUCGAAAGCGUGCAAGACACAUCUGCCCCAAUAGCGUGUUGAAUGAAGGAAGGUGUGGGUCGGUUUUCAAGCGCUGGACCGAUGAGCAGUGUUUUGGUGGUGGUAAGUGUGGAACUAAGAUUGUUAUUGCCAUGAAAAAGCUUUCCAAGUCACAAGGAGUAAACCCAGAACUGAGAUUGUUAUCACCAUGAAAAAGCUUUUGAGGUCAUAGAGAGUGGCUGGUUGGAUCGAUUGAUGGAAGGGUUAGUGUGCAUACUGAUGAACAACAAAGUAUAAAUAUCCACAUUUAAAUGCGACAGAGAAAGGAAAUGAGAUCUAUGCAAUUUAUCCUCUUAACUUCCAUCAUGUGAUGGGAAAUGGGAACCCUAUAGAAAGAAAGACAUGGUUUCCUGACAACGAAUCAUUAUUUAAACUUCUUUGUUAUGAAAAUGUACCUCCUUAUCUGAAAUUGUAGGGUGCUUUACACAAUUCAAGUCAAUUUUUAUUGAUGUUUCCCAAACAAGACACCAAUACGCUUUACUGGUAGUUGUUGGACUUCAAGUUGGGUAAAUGAUUGGCACUCAGGUUCUACUAAUUUGGUGGACGCUCUACAAAAACUGUUGUUUUAGUAUUAUGUUUGGGUAGCUACCGGGUAGUCUUUAUAUUUUACAUUUAUUGUAUACAUAAUUUAAAUGGUUCAACCCCGUGAGUAUUCACGGGGAAUAACCUAGAUAUUAAUAAUCGGAUACAUGAUAUUAUGUAGUUAUGUGGGUGUGGAUGAGAAGGAAGAUGUGCAGCUCUUUUACUACUUCAUUCAGUCAGAGUCAGAUCCUGACCGUGAUCCUCUCAUGCUUUGGAUCACCGGCAGUCCUGGUUGUUCUACCAUCUCUGGCCUGCUAUUUGAAAUUAGUAUGCUUUUGUUUUGUGUC